CUAGAAAGAAGCAACCUCCAAGCAGAGGAGUUUUCCAGGGAGCCCUUUUCUUCAAAGUGGGGGAAGGCAGUAGAUAUGGAAAGAGAAGAAAGUCAUUUUUCUCCAGAGCUACAGAGGCUUGCUAUUGAGUUCCCGCAAGGCUGAGUGAAGCUAAACACGUUGUGGCCAUACAGGUCAUGGAACAGUCUUGUUCUGGAUUUUUCCUCAAAGGGAAACUUCCCAAGAAAGCUGCUGGGGCCCCAGCUGUCUCUCCUCACAGGUUGAACACUGUGCACUCCAGCAGUUUAGCCUCUCUAGUCUGUGGUACCUGAGAGAUGAAAUCCAGUGCUGGGUGGUGGGGAAGGCAGGAUGGAGUUACCUGCAUGCCUGUGAGCCCCUGCACUGCAUCAUGCAUGUAGCAGGGACAGUCUUCUGGCAUGGCUGGGCACAACCAUUGUUCAGGGGUGGGCAGAGCUUGCUGUGUGGCUCAAGGACUGUCUUGACUGCUGGACAUGUGCAUGGCCUGGGUGAGUCCCUCUUCCUGUGUUGUGCUCAAACAGCAUUUCUGGGCAAGGAGGUGAAGUUUGGGGAAACUCAGAAUGGGCAGUGCUAAGAACACCACAAGUGGGAUGAGCAGCAUUUGUGUGGGUGUUCACUGGCAUGUCUAAACUGUCCUUGCCUGGAGGACUGUAGGUGCAAGUACCUUCUUGGUUCCUGUUGUCCUGGCUCUCUGUUGUGGCCUUGUAUGUAUGUGAACGCUUGUUUAGUACUGAGUAAUUCCUGGUUCUGUGGGAUGAUGUGUAAAAUGGAGCUUAUCUCAGUUAUAGCUGAGCCCAAUUUACAUCUUUGCAGGGCUUACUCUGAAUACAUUUCUGGGACAUUUGAACUUCCUUCAAGAGCAAUUGUGAAAUUUCCUGUAACUAAUUUGAAAGCAGUAACCCCAUUGCUAGAUGGUGUUCAAAUGUUCUUGAAGAGCUUAGGUAGAACAACCAAUUUCUGGAGCAGUGUCAGGAUAUUGGCCAGGACUUUUUAUUGAAAAACAGUGUAUUCCUUAGUGGGACUGUGGGGUGCUUUUUUAUUUCAUGGUGGAAUGUGGCAUUUGAGAAUGGAGAUGUUGCCGUUGAAAGAUAAUUUUCUUAAUCACCUCUCAUCUCUGAAACAUACAGUAGGAACCCAAUCAUGGCUUGUGUUAGUGCACAAAAGUGUAGUUUUAUCAUGCUGAAGUUGUUUAUUGGAACAGUCAAAGUAGUUUUAUUGUGAAUGGGCUUUUUGCUGUAGGAUGGAAACUAUGAUUAAGUCUCAAGACAGUAAGAAGGGUUUGUGUGUAAUUCUUUAAGUACGCUCAUGGCACUCUCACAGUUUUCACUGAAAACUUCCUUAAUAACGCGUGGUCUGUUGAUUAUUUAAAAUCCUGGUCAAACAUUGUAAGAGUUAUAAAAACCUGAAGGAUUUAAAUAGUAUUUGAAAAAAAAAUGGCUAAUGUGGAUCUGAUGUCUUUUCAUGUAACUGAAAUAGUUCCCUGCAAUCAUAAAUGUGUGUUCAGAGAUGCAAACAUAGUGUUGUGGCGGCAUUUGAGGUAAAUGGAAUGACAUCUGACAUAAGUGAGCUAUUUCAGGAAGAUGCAAUUAUUCAGCCUCAUUUUAAAAUAACUUUUACUAAACUUAUUCUUACAGAUAAAGAGAAAAAAACUUUGGUGUAUAAUCAUUCUCAAAAGAGAUGGCAUCAGAAGCGUAUUUAAUAAUAUUUACUAUUAUGUAUCUGGAGGACACAUGGUCCUUUACACUGAGUUUCCACAACAUGAAGUGCAGAAAGAGUGGGUUUGCAAUGUUAAGGUGAAUGACAGUAAGAGAGGUGAUUUAAAGAAAAAAUUACUUGAUUGGUGAGUGUAUGGAUCCACACUAGAUACCACACUUAAUCACAUCUUUUCCUGUUUUAUAUACAGAUUUAGGGGUUGGGGAGGAGGAAUAGCCAUUUUCUCUUAAAAAAUAGCUGUGGAGCAAGUAAUCAUACUACAUCUCAUCCCUGUCAAACUUGUGCAGUAAUGGAGCUCUGUGCCUGCUUCACAGAAACAAACCAAAUGCGUGGGUUAGUUUUGCAUCUUGAAAGAUAAAGUUUCUGACAAGCUAAGGAUUGAAUUAAUAUGUAAUGCCGUCUAAGUUUAAGAACAACCUGUAGAAACUCAACUUUGGUAACUGAAGCCAAAAUAUCAGCUUUAUCUCUGCAGAAAAUCAGGCAGCUAGUCUUUAGAUAUAGAGAGUUAAUUUUGCAUAAUUGUGGCUAUGUAGACAUUCAGUGAGAAUAAGAUGAAGGUUUAAGCUGCCAAUUUACAGAGCAGAAAUCCAGAAGUUGCCAUUUUUACUCUAAGUUAUUUACUACUUUUUUAAAAACAGUUCAAUACUAUUUGCUUGAUGACUAAGAAGGAAUGUUCCCACUUAACAUUCAUAAGCAUGUGUACAAUUUCUCUAGAUUAAUGUUUGGGGGAAUAAAUCUUAUUUGAAAUCUUUAGUGUAAAUUAAGCUAAAAGUCAUGAUUUUUAAAAAGCAUUUCUUAUUUAGCAAGUGUUUUGAUGCUGAGUCAGUGUUGCAUAACUGAUAUUACGAGGAAAGAAGUAUUACCCGUAUCUACUUCUACUCCACUGCAGAUAUUUUUUUGCUCAAGAAUGAAGUUUGAGGCCUUGAUCUAAAGCCUGAUUAACCAGGCUGCAUUGUGCAAUUGCAACGCUGUAUGGGUGAAACUGUGGCAGAGAGUAAUAGCUUAUGCAGCUCUUCGAGAAGGGAUAGGGAAAAUCUUUCCAUAGAAGGGUUCACCAGACUACAGGUUGGCAUUUUCGGAAUGGAAUGGCAAGAGUGAGGGAUGUUAUUUUUUUAAAAAUUAAAAAAUAUAAUUUAAACAUACCUACUAAAACAAAAACCACCACAGGUGAGAAGCAAUGAGAUUAAGCACUUCUGAAAUGUUUCAUCCAAGCAUGUAUGUCUUUACACUUCAAAAUGUUUUUAAGUCUUGUGUUAGCUGGUUUGGAUUCCUUAUUUUUGUCUCCUGAAUAAUAGAAUGGCUUGGUU
ensembl:lncRNA